UACAGAGGGGGCAAGCGUUUAUUCGGAAUUAUUGGGCGUAAAGCGCGUGUAGGCGGCUUUGCAAGUCGGGUGUGAAAGCCCUCAGCUCAACUGAGGAAGUGCGCCCGAAACUGCAGAGCUUGAGUGCCGGGAGAGGGUGGCGGAAUUCCCCAAGUAGAGGUGAAAUUCGUAGAUAUGGGGAGGAACACCGGUGGCGAAGGCGGCCACCUGGACGGUAACUGACGCUGAGACGCGAAAGCGUGGGGAGC
rnacentral:rRNA from 1 species